rnacentral:lncRNA from 1 species
GGGGAGCCUGGCCGAAGGCCCACUGCCUGCAUGUGGGAGAAGUGGGAGCCUGCUGCGGGCUCCAGGAGGACUAGAUGGGCACCCUGGCGCGCUGGGCACAGAGCGGUUCUACAGCCCUGGAUGAUACUGCAGAGAAAGCGUAGCCAGCGCAGUCCCCGACGCCUGCAUUUGAACGGCCUUGAGUCAAACAUUUAUGGAGCCUAAACUGGAAGCAGCGAUGGCUUGAGAAAAUGUGCGGUCAUUUGGAAACUCACGUAUAUUUCUUUGCUCUUCUACGCACAUAUCAGGCCUCGUGAUAAAUUGAGGGAGUUAAAGCAGUCUGUUGUUUUUUUUUUUUUUUAGGUGGGCCUAAUCCAGUUAUGAACAUGCUGAGACCUAGGAGGCCAAGAGGACCCACCUCAAACCCUUCCCCAGUAAGGGCUGAUGUGACAUCCCGGCAAACCCACUUCCUCGGGGCAGGAGAUGCCUCCUCGGCAGAGUCCUGUUUCUGAAAUCUGUGCAAUGUGUCCAGGUGAGUAACAAUCAGGGCACUGUGAGGGAGAGCUGGGGGUACCGAGAGGCACGGGGUG